UCCCUCGGGAUGUAAACUUCGCAAGAACGGGAAGAAUAAGUAGGGGACAAUACCCCCUAUGAUGACGGUACCGUUUGUAAGCUCCGGCUAACUCCGUGCCAGCAGCCGCGGUAAUACGGGGGGAGCAAGCGUUGUUCGGAUUUACUGGGCGUAAAGGGCGCGUAGGCGGCCAGCACAAGUCAGUUGUGAAAUCUCCGAGCUUAACUCGGAAAGGUCAACUGAUACUGUGCGGCUAGAGUGCGGAAGGGGCAACUGGAAUUCUUGGUGUAGCGGUGAAAUGCGUAGAUAUCAAGAGGAACACCUGCGGCGAAGGCGGGUUGCUGGGCCGACACUGACGCUGAGGCGCGAAAGCCAGGGGAGCGAACGGGAUUAGAUACCCCGGUAGUCCUGGCCUUAAACGAUGAAUGCUUGGUGUCUGGGGUUAUAAAGUCCCCGGGUGCCGUCGCUAACGCUUUAAGCAUUCCGCCUGGGGAGUACGGUCGCAAGACUGAAACUCAAA
rnacentral:rRNA from 1 species